rnacentral:rRNA from 1 species
AUUGAACGCUGGCGGCAGGCCUAAUACAUGCAAGUCGAACGAGUGGCGGACGGGUGAGUAAUGUCUGGGAAACUGCCUGCUGGGGGGGGAUAAAUACUGGAAACGGUAGCUACUACCGCCUACGAUCAGAUGUGACCAGUUGGGAUUAGCUGGUUGGUGGGGUAACGGCUCACCAAGGCGCGGAUCCCUGGUUGGUAUGAGAGGAUGACCAGCAACACGGGAACGGAGAUACGGUCCAGACUCCUACUGGAGGCAGCAGUGGGGAAUAUUGCACAAUGGGCGCAAGCCUGAUGCAGCCAUGCCGCGAAUAUGAAGAGGGCCUUCGGGUUGUAAAGGACUUUCAGCGGGGAGGCGUUACCCGCAGAAGAAGCACCGGCUAACUCCGUGCCAGCAGCCGCGGUAAUUC